AAAUAAUUAAAAAAUAAUGCUUUUUUGUUUGUCGUGUUAAAAUCGUAAGUACCGAAGUACUGUGAAAGAGAUUAAUUUACAGAAACUGAAGCCAAGGGUUCAAAAAAAAAGUGCAAAGAGAAUAAUUGUAUUGGUAGCACAAUGUCAUAUUCAUACAGAGAUCAAGUAUAUUAUUUACGGCUAGUAAGGACUAAGAAUUAAUUGUACACUAUUGUUUUAUUCUACAAUCAAUCUUGACCCUUGAUGCUUGGCUCUCAAUCUUGUCCAUUGAUCUUCUCUGAUUUUGGAGACUUGAAGACCUUUCAGUAUUAUGCCUUGUUGUUGGUGUCUUCCAUGCGGUAGAACCGACGACUUGCCAAGUGUUUGUUCAUUGACGCAUUUUAUCAAACAGUUGGCCUGCUCAUAGCAAACAGCUCCUGUUUUAAUUCGAUGUUAUACGGGUAUUUCAUUUAUUUGAGUAGGGGUUAGGGGUCAAUUGGAUACAAAUUCAAAAUUAUCCUUACUUGAGAUGGUGAUAAAAAUUGGGGAUUUAAUUUGGAUGUGAUUAGCUACAAAUAUUAAGCUCAUACAUUUAAUUCAAAAUUGGAGGGCUGAUAUAUGUGCAUCAUCGUGCACGUUAUAGUGACACUGCGUCACCAUCCCACAACCUCUCCAAUGAAAAAUUGACAUGCAUCUUGUGCGCUUCUGAUCAAAAUCCUGAAAAUUAAUCACAAAGUUAUACUUUUAUUAUAAAAAGAAUAAAGAAACUCCAAGAAAAAAAAAAUAGACUUACAUAAAUAGUUUGAGUAUUCUAGAUUCCAAGUUGUCUAUAUUAGCUUGAUCUUUUUAUAAAUAGUCAUCUUCGAAAAAAAAUUCCACCACCAUAUAUUUUAAUUUUAUGUUAAUUAAUAAAUAGAAAAAAAAUCAUUUUAGAAUUAAUUAAAACAUUAUUUAUUGUUGCCAAAAAAAAGGAAGAAUUUAGUGAUAAGAAAAAAGUGUCUCAAAUAUACGUUAAAAAAAUUAAUCAUGGUGGGUUCGAUUGAUUGAAUUUUUUUUUUUAUCUUUUUCUUUUUUAAGAAUUAAGACAAUUGGAUUGAUUGAGUAAUAAUAAAAUAUAUUUAUUUGGCAAAUGGCAGUUAGGCUUUCUUCUGAUGCAGAUUAAUUAGAGAGAAUAUAUAACCAUUUUAAGCUCGUCAGAUUCGGAACCUGCUUAUCUGUCGUGUGGGGAUCACUUCCGUGUCUUAUUUUUCUACAAAAAUCUAGACCAUUGGAUUUCCCAUUAGUCAAUAGAUAAAUGUUUGAUCUUGAUUCUUGAUUAAGAUCGAAGUUUGAUUCUAACCAACAUGAUGUCUGAUUCAGAUUGCGAAGCCAGCAAAUUGAAAGUAACUUGUUCUAUUUUGAUAAAACAUUCUCAUAGUAAAGUGAAUUACCAUCCAACGAUCCAACUCAUGUUUUCAAAUUGUAAAUUGCAAAUCGUGUGUUUGCCCCAUUACAGAGUUUCUUCAAUCUGAAAUAGAGAAUCAUUUGUGUUCUAGAUUAAUCGUGGGUCUAUAUCCAAAUCUAAAAAUUGACUAAAUUCUUAAUCCUAACAAGAAAAAUUGAAGAUUAAAAACAACUAAUUUGGUACCAUACCACUAUUGUAACAUAGGUAGAUCCUCUAUUAAUUGGAGUAAAGAUUGAAUUAUCUCAUUUAUUAAGGUUUAUCAAAAUCUUGUGUCAAAAUCUAUUAAUGAUAUAGGUUCAAGGAUGAAAGAGUCACUUCAUUACUUUUGAGUUCCCAAAUAGAUGAAUGGGUGUUAUUUUUGGAUUCCGGAGAGUCGAAAAUAUUAGGAUAGGUGCUAAAUCGAAUUAAGUUGUAGAUAAGAUAGAAAUGGAUUUGGAGAGAUUGGAAUCCUAGGUAAUCCGGUGCACGUUGUCGUGUUAAAUUAUCGUUGACUUCACGUUGACUGAAGCAUUAUUGGAAGAAACAAGUUUAUUGAUGUGAGGCCUUUGAGAUUGUAAGUGUUAAAUCUGAGAAGAAUACCCACACACCCAUUAUCCUAUUACUCUUAUAUCACAUGAAGAGAAUUCAACAUUUGAUUCACACGGAAAAAAUUUGUGAGGAUUGUGAGGGUUGAUGGAAUAUAAUUUAGAUACAAAGUGUUUACCAGUGCGAUGCUUCGCAAGUGUUCUUGAAUCAAUAUAAACUCACAUUAUUUUCAUAGUGAUUGUUUCAUCUGCACGUGGAUAUAAUCACAUGUCGAGAUUUUUUUCCUUAAAUUAUGGUCUUAUUUAGUAUUGAGGUGUUAUAUCUUUUAAGGUACAAUUAUUGUUGGAAAAAAGUUACAACUAUCAAAUAAAAUUAAUACUAUGUGCUAAAUAUAAUUGUUAAAUAAUAAUUUUGACAAAAUUAGUGAAGUUAUAUAGAUUUUUUUUCAUCAUCCAAGUAUAAAAUCAAAUCAACUUAACUUCUAAGUUAUAUAUCGGUUACUGUUUAUCAUAUGUUUUAGUUCUGUAACUUUUAAGUUAUAGUUACCCAACCUCAAUUCUAAACAAGACCUAUAAAGAUCAAAGAUUUCCUCAUUAAAUUAUAUGUCUUGUGAUUGCUUAUUUAAUUUAUAUUUUUGUUAUUUAUCUUUAUUAAUUAUAAUCAUCUUUUUAUAAAUUAAAAUUGAAGGAAGUUGAUUGAUGUUGUUGACACACACGCACACACUCACAAAGACAUAUUGGAAGUGCUUACGUCGACUCGAAGUUGUUGGGAAUUAAUGCAUGUAUUGAUUUAUUGGGAGUGUUUAAAUGAUUUUGUGAUUUACUUGAUUUAUUGAUUGAAUAUUGUUUGAUUGCUUCAUAUCCAUUCUAGAAAGUUUAUUUCUUUGUGAAAGUUCAACGAAAUAUGUUUUUUUUUUUUUAAAUAAGGGUGUUCUAAAUAAUUUUAAAAAAUAUAUGGACUAAUUAGAAUUAAUUAUUAGGUAAUUAACUCAAUCUGUACGGGGUAAAACAACAUUUAUCCUAAUUAUAUCAUGAUAAAUACUUUUCCGAUUAGAAUUAGGAAAUCAUAGGUUUGUUGAAUUGUUUUUUUUUUAUUUUCCUUUGCGGAAACGGAUUAGAGAAUUAGAAAACAAUCAUGUUGAUGUCAAAAUCUGAUCUAGUCGGUUAGCGACUUAAUAUCAUAUUACUGCACCAGUAUUAAAUUUAUUUGGUAGAGAAUCGGCUGGUCAAUUGUCAAGAUGUCCUGCAAUCACUAGCGAUUAACCUACGAAUAUAUGAAAUUAUAGAAGACGGUAAGAGGCACCGGAAGUUUUUUCGUCGUGAACCUUCUGACGCUCAAGUCAGUUUAUAGGUUUACGAUAAUAAAAAUAAAUAAUUUCUAUUUAAAACAAAAAAUAGAGUUCAAAAGCUCAAAAAUAAAACCCAAUCCCAAUAUGAAAAUGAAUAUCUUUUUUUUUAGCUUGGCCGAAUCCUUCUGCCUCCUAAAGAAACAUAAUAGAGAAGCCGGUAGCCAUGUUCCCUAGGUAACGCCCCACUCCCCUCUUUUAUUCCUCCCCCUCUCUUCUGUUUCCUUCUUUUGCUCACUAUCCUUUAUAAUUUUUUAUGCUUGUCUUCCCAAAAUAGCCUUUGAAUACACAAGUAAAUGUCUAGGCUUUGGUGAGGAUAGUUUGGUUAUUGCAUUUUACAAGUAAGAUGAGUGGUGGAGAAAAAUGAGGAGUGCAUAUAACUCUUCAGCAAAUCCCACCAACAAUUCCAUUUUCUUAAUUAAUUAAUCUCCUUUUUUAUCCCCAAACAAAUCCUAAUGAUACUAUUAUCAGGUUUAAAACAGUACAUAAAUAGUGAAAAGCUAACUAGUCUGUAGAUUAAUUUGCUAAUUGCUAUCUCCUCUCUACGCGCUCUGAAUAAUUUGUUGCAUGCAAACUUUUUAUUUUAUGCAAAUCGUACGUACUGUAACAUUGGAAUUGAUGUAUAAGCAAAAAUACAAGAAUCUUUAUGUCAAUAAAAAUAGUUUUUUUUUCCUUUUUAAAUAAACACAACGCGAUGUUGCUCUUCUCUACAUUGUUGCUAUCUCUUUAUUCCCUUUUUUUUUUUUCGGCUUCUUAAAGCCUCAAACUUUGAUAACCAAAACUUCAUCAAACUUUGAAAAAAAUCUGUCUGGUUAGUUAUUAUUAUCGGAAUAAUUAUUUGAGAAUACUAAAACAAAAUAUAAAUAAGAAAAUACGGGGUUAAAUUUGGGGAAAACAAAAAGGCAUGUUGGAUAGAUUACUAUAGUUUAAGGGAAAAAAAAUCCAAUUGGGAAUUUUUUUCUUUAAUUUUUGUUUUACUUGAUUGAGAUUUCUCCUUAGUCCUUACAGUUUUAAGUUUGGACUCCGUAGGGUUAGUAAUUUAGUACUUCCUUUGCAAGCUGAGUGCAAGAAUGAAAAUCUUUAAAGAAAUUAAAAAAGAUUAAAAAAAAGCAUACCAAUAGGUAAUUAUAAAUAACCAUAAAUAAACAUAAACAAAAUGUUUAUGAAGUAAAUUACACAUGCACAUAUUAUUUUUUUGUUUUAUUUCUUACUUGUCAAUUUUAUUUGCUGCUUGAUAACCCGUAAAUACUAAUCUAGUACUGCUAAUUUCAGACACAAAAUUUUUAACUCUAGGCUGCAGUUUUACUCAAAAUGAUGACCACUGGCUUCGCACCAUUUAACCGGCAUACAUUUCUACAAAUUGAACAAGGCUAUUGAUUUUCAUUAUUAUUUUUUAUUUAUUUAUAAAUUACCAUUUUAAUUUUCACUUUUUAUUGGGCUGUUGAACGGAUUAGUGAAGUUGGUGGUCGUGAUGCACUCAUAAGGUACAAUUUUAUUUUAUAAUUUCAAAUUUGUAUUUUAAAAUGCAGGUACAUUAUGUAUACAUAAUUAUUGAUUUUCGUAUGUGGGUGUUUUGAAAUAUUGCUAAAAGACCAAACUUUAAUAAACUAUUUUUCAUCUUUUUUUUUCCUUUUUUCCUAAAGUUCGAGUGAUAUCCGCAUUUUAAAUUCAUGUGGAACAAAAUCUAAUGUAUGCACAAAAUUCUUUUAUUUUUUCCAAGAAAAAUGGGUAAGAGAAGAAGAUUUUUCUCUUGAAAAAGAAAAACUAAUAUGAUGCAAGCAUAGGAAAGAGGUCAGUGUUUUGGAUUAGAAUUUAGUAUUGAGCUGAAUUUUAUACUAAACUCUUUUAUGGUACUGCGAUUAAUAAACUCAUGAUUUGCUUUUGCUUUUGCUUUUACUUCAAGUGAAAGAAAGAGGAAACCUUUUGUUUUUUGUUUGAUUCUUGACUACAGAUGUUAGCUAUAUAGAGAGUUGAGGUAGCAGCCUUAAGUGAUGGUGAUAAAAAGAUUAGGCAGCGCACACAAUCUUACUGUCGUCCAGACCAUCCAGCUGUGAUGACUCUAGUUUUUUGGUUACAUUAGCUUUAGUGGAAAGGAGGGCCAAUUUAACAAAGACUAGAUUUGGUGGCUUACUAUAAUGCUUAUUCUCAGGGAAUCUAAUGUUAUAAGAUGAUUUAAUGAUCUUCUAUGAUUGUGAGUAGUAUAGUAUAAUUGAAAAGAGCCUGGGCUCCUAUGAUGAAUAUAUAAUAGUAACGCAGUACUGUGAUUGAAAAAAACACAGUUACAAUAAACUCUUCAUUUAUUCAUUGCGGAGAUUGAAUGGCAAACAGAGAAUAAAAUGAAGCAGAGGAAUCUCAUUGCCAGUAAAAUUGACCCUCUUUAAUGUUAUAUGGCACAGGUGUGUGUACAGCAAGAGCAAGUUACUUGCAGUUUUUAUUGUAAAAUAUACAGGUUAUGACCAUGAUCAUUGUAGUUAGGUUUUGAUGAUUUUAGAUGCUUUUUUUAUUUUUAUUUUUUAAAUUGUGACACCUUUGAUUUAUGGUAGUUUUGCAGAAGAAAAAAAUAUAUAUAAAAAUUAGGAGGGAUGAGUUAACUAACAAUUGCAAUCAUUGCAGUAAUGUUGAUGAGUGAUACAUCAUUUGAAAUUUACUUGUCAGUUGCUAAAAUGAUGAAAAAAAACAAUAAACAAUAGCAGUAAUAUUUUUAUGGAAAUUCUGGGUUUUUAUGGAAAUACUCUUGCUGAAAUUCUAAUUUUGACUUUCAACUCUUGGUUUUUAUGGAAAGUAAAAUGACUUGUUUGUUAUAUUCAUACAACCCACUCUACAUAAUGAUUUCAUUUUAAUAAAUGCUUGAUGAUCUCCACAGAAAAACUACUUCAAUUCUUUUUUUUUAUUUAACUUUUUGGUUGUUGAAAAUAGCCUUAAUUUUCAAAUCAUUGGAGAAAGAGUAAAGAACAUUUAACAAAUUUAUGUGCCAAAAAUAAAGGAGAAAUUGAAGAGAAAGGGUGCUUGCAGAAGUGGGUGCAAAGAUAAAUCAGUCCAUAAGAAUUAUUGUGGUUAUUAAUUUUUUGGCAAUAUAAAAAUUUUUCAGCAAAUAAAAAUAGAUUUUUUUCUGAUUUACUAAAAAAUUAAUUAAAAACUUCGGCGAUAGCAUUUUUUAUGGGUGCAUGUACCCUCCCUUUAAAAAAAAUAUAAUAAUUAAUACUUAAUAUAGUAUUAAAUACGAAAAUAUCAAUAUUUGACUACACAAAUUUAUAUCAUUAGGUCCUUAAAAUUUAAAAUUGAAGACACAAAAUGAAAUAUAUAUAAAUUUCAUUCUCAUAGGAAAGGAUCCUCUUAUAAUCUUAAAAUAUUUGAGCUUUGAAAGAAUUUUUAAAACAAAUGUACUUUUAUUUUUGUACAAUCAAUAUUUACUUAUUUAUUAUAUUUUUAUUCAUUACACUACUAGAAAAAUGGUCUUUUGUGACACUUGUCUUCUGACACUUUAUUAUAAAGUAUCAGUAAUUACAUAUAUUUGGGGCAUUUUCCGUGUUUAACAUAUAAGUAUCACAAAUUGCUAAUACUAUGGUGUCAGUAAAUUUAAUAUCACAGAUUCGUGACACUAAAGUAUUAGUAGUUAAAAAAAUAAAAUUUUAAUUUUGUAUCUAGUAAUAAUCGCACCGAAGACCCCGAAGCCAUAACCUUUUGCUUUUAACCGCUAUACCACUCGGCCACAAAUUGCAUUUUUGAACUUAUAAAUUAAUAAAUAAAUAAAUAUUAAAACUUAAAACCUAAAACCUAAAAAUUUUUCAUGUAUGGUAUGUGUGAAACCUAAAACCUAAAAAUUUUUGUUAAGUCAAAAAUCUAUCUUAUGGCCGCCGAAGCUUUCUUCCUUCUCUCUCCUUCCCUCUCUCUCGCUCUCUUUCUCUCUCGAACAAUGAUCUACCUUGAAAGCCGCCUCCGUCAACACCUUGAAAGCCGCCGUCCUUAAGCUAAAAUAUCCCUGAAAAGAACCCAGAAAGUGCUGUGAAGAAUUUGGGCAAAGCUAAGGUUUGAAAGUCCGAAUCAGUGUUGUGGUAACUCUUUGCCUCAUUCUCUAUUCUCAUUGUUUAAGUAUUUAUCUGUUAAUUGAUUGAUGUUUAUUGAGUGCAAAUGAGAGCUUGCACUUGUUUGGAAAUCCAGCCAUCUAGGGUUUUUGUUGCUUAUAAUCUAAUUUAUUGUUUAAUAAAAUAAAUAAAACGCAGCUUUAUUAUAGGUGGAAUUCAGUUUAUUAAGUGAAAGAAUGAUUACAAUCGGUGAUUAUGGAUUUAGGUUGAAUGCAAUUUGUUAAUUAAAAGAAUAAUGGUAAUCGACAGUCAUGGGUUUAGUAUGUAUUAUAUAUUUCGUUUAAUGGUGUGUAUGAAAACCCAAAACCUAAAAUUUUCUUAAGUAAAAAUCUCAGUUCUCCCUCACAACCUAUAAGCCCAUCACUCUCUCUCUCUCUCUCUCUCCCCUCUUUCUAGCUAACAACCCAAAACUUAUUGUGAAACCGCCAUUUCAAUCUUUCAAAGCUCAUUAGUUAGCUGGUCAUUGUGAAAAGUAAGGUUAUUGUUUGCUUUAUGUCUAAUUUACUUUAAACAUGGGGAUUGAUGAUAUUCGAGUUGCUGAACACUUGAUUUUGAGGUGAAAGAUUAAUUAAUAGUUUACAAAAUUAUGCUGAAAAUUUGAGGAUUGAUAGACUGUUGUUGUGAACUUGGUUGUUUCCGAACUUGACUAAAUGACUUUCAAUUGAUUUGAAAGUUUGAUUAAACUAAGUUUAAAUGAGAACAUUUUAAUUCUGGAAAUUUUGGAAUGAAUUGGGUCUAUAUUUGAUUUUGAAUGGAUUUCUCAAUAUGGUUGGUUGUUGUCCAAUUUUAUUAGAAAUUACAUAUGUACCAUGUUUGAUAUUGCAAACGUAUAGUUUAACAUAGUUAGAAUAAGCUGAAAUUCAGAUAAACUACACUUCUAUUUGCAUACUUCGAAUCUGGAAAAUUUUAUUUUGAUUGAACCUGUAAUUUAUUUUUAAUGAUUUUUCAAACUCUGCUGCCUCUGCAGUAACUUCUUUUGACAGAACUGUUCAUUAAUCUUUGAUCCUAUCAAACACCAGCCUACUGAUAUCGGAAUAGCCUCAAAUUUUAAUAUGUUGUUGACUUAUAUGUCCACUUAAAAUCUAGAAAGUAUCAUUCUAAUAUAUUUAGUAUUUUAAAUUUAAUAAAUAUUCAAACACCUGCUGCUACUUUUACAGUUUCAUAUGCAAUUUUAACUUAUAUAGUUUUAUCAUGUGAGAAGCAAAUGUAUGGUUGUCCAAAUGACUUGGAAAUUUUUUUUGUGGUGCAUUGAAAUGUCUAAUUAUGUUUUGUAAGUUUCAUAGCAUUCCAAAUUGAAUUAAAGAAAAUCUUAAAUUCAAGUUGUCAAUGUUUCCUAUUAAAUCUUAUUAGUGAUAAAUCUACUAACUUGCAGUACUUUUCAGGAAAAAAAAUGUGUCAACACUGUGAAUUGCAAUGGGAGAAGAAAGUACUAAAGGCAUAAAUCUUUUUUCAUUAUAUUUGGGACUAUUCUUAAAGGUUAGUCUUUUCCUUUUUCCUUUUUUUCUUUUUUAUUUAAGGUAAUCAUAUUCAUUUUAAUUUUAAUUACAAUCAAUUUGGCGUUGUUAGACAACUCGCACCAACCAGUCCAACAGCAAAUGAAGAUAACAUUUUUGAAAUGCAUUCAGUUUUUGACAAUAGCAAAAAGAAAAAGGAAAAAUGAUACUAGUUUAGGCUUUAGGAAAUUUGCACCAUCAUUCUUGCACUGCAGCUGCCUCUAUCUCGGUGCUCUCGGAGAAGUAAUCUUGCUUGAUUUUGCGUGAUAGUUGAUACAAGCCCGUCCUAGCCAUUACAAAAUUGACACUAAAAAGGUUCUAGUUUUUCAUAUUGUAGUUUGAAAAGUCUGCAAUGUUUGCUAUGCUGAUGCCCCAUUUGAAUGUUGGAGCCCAAAAAUGAAUGGUUUUAGGACCAGCCGGGUGGUUCCAAAAAGCUAGGAGCUUGUUAGCUAUUCUUUUUAAUUGAACUAAUUUAACUUAAAUAUUAGCCCGAUUAUUGAUUUCUAUGGUUUGCCAUUGAUUUGAGUUUGACAUUCUUGUUUUGUGUUGGUUUGAGUUUGACAUCCUAGUUUAAGACUUUGAAGGCUUCCAAGAAAUGAUUUUGGAUGAUGAGCAAAUGAGUAAUAGUUUGAAAAUUAAUUUACUGUAUCAAAUAUAUACUUAGUGUAGCAUAUUAAUUUUAAGAACUAUGGAUUAUUCCUUGAAUAUUCUAGUAAAUGGUUAUGUUAUAUAUGCAUGUCUUAAUAUAUAAUAAUUAUAUUUUGAAGUUUGUUUUUUUUUUUUUCCCUUUCUAGGUUUAGGAAAAAUGUUUAAAGUGAUUUUGGGUUAUGAUGUCAAUCAAGUUAAAGCAACAUUACUUGUGAGUGGAAAUAUAUAAUGAUUAUAUUUUUAUUCUACUUUUUUUUUAUCUUCUUAAAGUUUUAUAAUUAGGCAAAAUUAAUGAAUACUUAAUUACAAUUUAGGGUGAUAUUCUUUAAAUGGUUCACAUGAAUAGAUUUAAGUAGUAUAAUAAAUCUCAUACUCACUUUAUAAAGGCUUAACUAAGUUUGCAAAUAUUAUUUCUUUUAGUAGUAAUAAUUUUGGAUCGAACUCUCAAAUUAUUGAAAUAUUUUAUGUCCAAACUUUAUUAUGCCUAAUAUAAAUAUUGAGAUUCAUAGUUAUUUUAUGCCCAGUUUAAGGAAACUGUAGUUUGAGGACUUAUUUUUUGCCUUGUUAAAUAAACUUUUAGAAUGAAUAAAUUGAGGAAAUGAGUGGUGAUUUAUUUAUAAUAGAGCAUUUGUGAUAGCUUUUAACUAUGCACAAAAAUCAUUUGGUAUAUGUAGAUAGAGUAACAUGCUUGUGCUGAAAGUAGAUAUUACAUUGAAAACUUCUUGUCUACUAUAGUUUGCUAUAUAUAUAACCUUUACCAAAAGAGAAUAAUUGAGUUUAUUUAUAAAUAGCUUAUGAGGAUUUUUUUUUUCUUUCGAACAAAAUAAUUUUAUUUCUGUUAAUUGUUGUUUCUCUAAUGGCUGGAUAUUGGCAGCUAAUUUUUUUUUUCUUUUCCAUGUAUUCAUAUGCAGCUUUGAUCAAUGUGUUUGAAGUGUUUAUUCCUCAACUUCACUUAUAUCAUAACCCAUACAGUCUAUUGAAUGGAGAAGCUGCUGGCGUGAUAACGCAAUUAUACUACUCAUAUUCAAACAGUGAAAGACAAUCAUCCUUCUCAAUUUAGCUUCUAGAUUUAUUAAAUUUAGCCACAAGUAGUAGGUAUUUGAUUGGAUGGUAGAAAUUUUUAUGUAUUGAAUUUGGAUUAUUGAGUUAUGAGAGUAGGAUAUCUCAUAUUUUUGUUAUUGAAGUUUUGGAAUUUGUAAUAUAUACUAAUAAUAUUUAAAUGUGAAAUGAAAGAUUUUGCGAUAUAAAUCAAUUUCUUUUUGUUAUUUUGUGGUGCUUUUUAAUUUUACCAAUAAAUCAAUAGACAAUGAUCCAAUUCUUUUUUUUUUUAAAUAAAUUAACUAGUGAUACUAUGGUAACAGUAAUCAUAGACACUAAUAAAAUAUCAAUAAUUACUAACACUAUGGUGUCAUAAUAUUGGUGAUACCGUAGUAAUAGUAAUCACUGACACCACUUACAAGUGUCACUAUUUUUCUGACUCCCAGAUUACUGGCACAAUUAACAAGUGUCAAUGAAAGUAAUUUCUAACACUAUUCUAAAGUCAGUAAAUACCAUUUUUCUAGUAGUGUUAACUAUCAAUCAUGUGAGUAUAUUUACUCAGAAAUAUCAUAUCAAUAGACAAUCUUGAUCCCACACACACGUAAAUAUGUUAAUUUCUAUACGCUUCACUUAACCUGUAGAAUCAAUUAUCUAAAAUGCAAGUUUGUGGCCACAAAAAAAGCCAAAGAAAGAAGAUAAUAACAAUUGACUUGUAUAUUAUGCUCAUACAAUCCACUCGACAUAAUGAUAUCAUUUUAAUAAGGCAAUGGCCGAUGAUCUCCAUUGAAAAACUAAUUCAAUUUUUUUGCUUCAUUUAACUUUUUGGUUGUUGAAAAUAACUUUAAUUAUCAAAUAAUUGGAGAAAGAGUAAAGAACAUUUAACAAAUUUAUGUGCAAAAAAAAAAAAAAGGAGAAGUUGAAGAGAAAGGGUGCUUGCAGAAGUGGGUGUCAAAGAAAAAUCUGUCCAUAAGAAUUAUUGCGGUUAUUUUUUGGCAAUGUAAAAUUUUUAUAGCAAGUAAAAAUUAAUUUUUUCCGAUUUACUAAAACAUUAACAAAAAAACUUCUGUGACAGCAUUUUUUAUGGGUGCAUAUACCCUCCCUUUAAAAAAAAUAAUAAUUAAUGCUUAAUAUAAUAUUAAAUACGAAAAUAUCAAUAUUUGACUACUCAAAUUUACAUCAUUAGGUCCUUAAAAUUUAAAAUUGAAGAUACGAAAGGAAGCAUAUAUAAAUUUCAUUCUCAUGAAAAGGAUUCUCUUAUAAUCUUAUAAUAUUUGAGUUUUGAAAUUUUUUUGAAACAAAUGUAAUUUUAUUUGUGUACAAUCUGAAAUGGCCCAAAACGUCAUAAAACUUUUCAAAUAGGUUCAAUUUCAGAACUUCCUAAAAAUAGUCGUCUUUCCCCAACUUUCUGAAAUUAUGAUAUAGCCCCAAAGAUUUUAUUAUUUCGCACAAAGGUCCUUUUCAACAUAAUACCCAUAUUUUUCAAAGUUCUCAAAACCUUUCACUUUAGUCCAAAAUAUUCAUAAAUUAUAGUAUGGCCCAAAACAUUUCAAAUGUUUGUAAAAACGUCCAACUCUGAAAUUUAAUACUUAUUAAAAACAAAGAUUUCAAAUCUUAGCAUUUAAAUCCAAAUUACUCAAAUCGAUAAAAUACUUUAUUUUAUAAAAAUAAAACCUUUUAGUUUAUGAAAAGUAUUUAAUUAAAUUAAUCUCUUGAGCUUCUCAAAUGCUAAAUCAUGCAUCAAUUAAAUCAUACCGGCUUUACAAGAAUUUAUCGCACUAAUUUGUUCGUUGAGCUCUAAACUAUAUUCUUGAUGUCGCCGUUGUCCGCUGAGUGUCUUCAAUCUUGAUUUCACUUGAUUCACUUGCAUAAAUAUUAUCCUUAAAAAACUAGUGAAAAUGUGAAAUACAAUAUUUAUUAAAUCACUCAAUACAUAUGUUUGUUAUCAUCAAAAUUACAUUAUGUAUAGCCCUUUAGGCUAACAAUCUCCCCCUUUUUGAUGAUGACAAACAUCUCAUGUAUUUUGACAUUUAUACUCCCCCUUAAUACAUGGCAUAUAUAAUUAAACAUAUAAAUCAAAUUCAAAACAAAAACUCCCCCUGAAUAUUUGAUUUAUGAUAAUUUGUAAGCUCCCCCUUAAUAUUUCAAAACCAUGCAUAAAUACUUGAAAUACAAAAUACGUAUUACAUGUCUUCAUAUUCAAAAUACAUGACUUCUCCCCUUCAUCAUCAAAAUUACUAGAAAUUCAUGCGAAGAUCGAUAAUAUGUCAAUGGUUAAUCAAGAAACAUAUAAUAACCAAACAUCCAAUUAACCAUUAAAUGAUCAUGAAUCAUCAUGCCAUCAAAAGAAUGUUCUAAAUGCAUAUUAUCCAAAAUCAUAUUGUAUGCUCCCCCUAAAUAUAUGGCCAAUUAAAAAAUUUAACCAAAAUGAUAUUAUCCAAAAACAUAUCAUAUUUAUCUCUCCCUUCAUAAAAAAUAGAUAGAUGCAAUCGAAACAAGAGCAUAAAAAAUAAUUCGAUAAAGAUAUUACCAAUUUUGUGCGAGCAAAAAUUUCGGCAGAGUCUCCCCUUAAAAUGAACAAAUCCUUAAAUAUACAACAUGGUUAAAAACACUUCCAUAUAAGCUGAAACAAUUAUAACAAACCAACAACUCCAUUAAUUCAUCAAGCAAUACACAUACAAUCAUCAAUCAUCAAAAGUACUAUAAAUCCAUGCUUAUACCAAAAAGAAUAUCUCAAUGAUUAAUCAAGAAGCAUAAAAAUAAAGCAUGCAAUUAAUCCAAAGAGUCAUAUUCAUUCUAAGAAUUCAGAAAAUAUCAUCCAAAUAUAAAUUAUCCAAAUAUUAAACAACCAUCAUCCGUAAUCCACAAUUAGAACAAUUAUGCAUAUGAAAAUGUAGGCGCAUAAUAUAAUAAGGAACCAUGGUAAUUUAAAAUACCCAAAAAUGCACAAAUUCGGUUUUGGAAAAUAAUUAGUGAAAUGAAUGAUUUUAAACCGAUUGUAUUGAUCCAAGAGAUGAUUUAAGAUAAUGGAUGGUGUUGAUUGGAUCAAAAGUGGACUAAAAAGAGUUUAAAUUGGAAGAGAAAGAAAUGGGUAAGUUAGGUUUUUUGAUUUUGGGUUUUAUGUGGAGAGAUAAUGAAAUCAAGUUUUGAGAGUGAAAAUUGAAGGAGUAAUGGAUGAAUAAUGAGUUGGAUGAUUGAUUUUAGCAAGAGAAUGAGUGAAAGAUGAAGAAAUUUGAGAAAGAAAAUGGAGAACACUAUUCACGCGUGAAUGAAAUGAGAAUGGAAUGAUGAAGAACAAGUGAAGAAAUCAUGAUGGAGAAGUGUUUAAUGAAGAUAAAAUGCAUGGGUAUUAGUUUGAAUGGUUGAUUUGGGCAUGAAAAUGGAUGAAAAAAGAAGAAAUUGAAAGUGAAAAUGGAUGGGUUGCUCACGGUUUUGAGUGAAAGAGAGAACAUGUGCAGAAAAUUAACAAAGGAAGAAGAAGAAGCAAAAAAAAUUUUCCCAACCCGUGACCAAGCGGCUAGCCGCUUGCUCUCGGGUUGGGGACAGUUUCCAAGCGGCUAGCCGCUUGGAACAGGCGGCUAGCCGCCUGUUCCAGCUGCACUCAAGUUGAUUUCCGACUAAUUUCGAUCAAUUUUGUGACCAUUUUGUGAUCCUGAAACAUCUCAAGAGCCAAUUUAAUGCAUGAUUCAUGAUUUUAAACAUCUAAAAGAUGAUUAAUUCAAACAAAUAAUCCAUCCAACAAGCAUAUAUUCAUGAAGCACAUAAGCAUUCAAAAAUUAAUAAAUCAAACACCACAUAUAUCUAACUUGCUCAAACACUUCAUAAACAUUAAUAAUCAUCAAGCAAACGAUUUUAAUAGAUUCAAUAACAUAAAUAGAGAUGUUAAUGCGAAAAUUUCAUCAUCCCAAGUUCAUGCCGAAUUUUUGAAAAUUGUUCUUCGCAAAGGGGUUUUGUAAAAAUAUCGGCAAGUUGUUUUUCCGUAAAGAUAAAUUCUAAUGCAAUAUCACCUUUUUGAACAUGAUCUCUCAAGAAAUGAUGCCUAAUCUCUAUAUGCUUGGUUCUAGAAUGUUGAAUGGGAUUCUUUGAAAGAUUUAUGGUGCUAGUAUUAUCACACUUGAUAGGAAUUUGUUCAAGAUUAAUACCAUAGUCUCUAAGUGUUUGUUUCAUCCAAAGUGCUUGUGCACAACAACUACCUGCGGCAAUAUAUUCCGCCUCAGUAGUUGAGAGUGUCACCGAAUUUUGUUUCUUACUAAACCAUGAAACAAGUGAAUGACUAAGAAAAUGGCAAGUUCCACUAGUACUCUUCCUAUCGACCUUGUGACCAGCAAAAUCGGCAUUCGAAUAACAAGCUAAAUCUAUAUGAGUUCCUCUAGGAUACCAAAGGCCAAUAUCUAUGGUUCUACUCAAAUAAUGAAAAAUUCUUUUAACAUAAAGCAAAUGAGAUUUCUUGGGACAUGAUUAAAAUCUUGCACACAAACAUACACUAAACAUGAUAUCGGGUCUACUUGCAGUUAAGUAAAGUAAGGAUCCAAUCAUACAUCGAUACUUUUUAAUAUCAACCACUUUACCUUUUUCAUCUUUAUCAAGCAUGAUUGUUGUACUCAUUGGAGUAUUCUUGGUAUUUGAUUCAUCAAUACCAAAUCUCUUGAGCAAGUCUUUGACGUACUUAGCUUGGUUGAUGAAGAUCCCCUCAUUGGUUUGUUUGAUUUGAAGUCUAAGAAAAUACUUCAAUUCUCCCAUCAUGCUCAUCUCAAAUUCCUUACUUAUACAAGAGGAAAAUUCUUUGCACAAAGAUUCAUUAGUAGAACCAAAAAUAAUAUCAUCAACAUAAAUUUGAACAACAAGUAUAUCUUGAUUUUUAUUUUUAAUAAAGAGGGUAGUAUCUGCUCUUCCCAUCGAAAAAUCGUUAUCCAAUAAGAAAUUUUUAAGCCUAUCAUACCAUGUUCUAGGUGCUUGUUUUAAUCCAUAUAAUGCUUUUGAUAACUUAUACACAUGAUUUGGAAAUUUCUCAUUUUCGAAACCAGGGGGUUGUUUCACAUAAACUUCCUCCAUAAUAUAACCAUUUAGGAAAUCACUCUUGACAUCCAUUUGAAAUAAAAUAAAAUCUUUAUGACAUGCAAAUGCUAACAACAUCCUAAUGGAUUCUAAUCUAGCUACAAGUGCAAAAGUUUCAUCGAAAUCGAUUCCUUCUUCUUGGUUGUAUCAUUGAGCCACUAAUCUACCUUUAUUUCUUACAACCACACCGGAUUCAUCCAUUUUAUUUCUAAAUACCCAUUUAGUGCCUAUAAUGGAUUGAUGUUCCGGUUUAGGAACCAAUUCCCAUACUUUAUUUCUCUCAAAUUGAUUUAACUACUUUUGCAUUGCCAUAAUCCAAAACUCAUCAUUUUCCGCAUUCGCAAAAGAUUUUGGUUCAAUUUGAGAAAUAAAUGCAGCAUGCUCACAUGUGUUUCUAAGUGAUGAUCUAGUUGUGAUACCUCUUGAAGGAUCACCUAAAAUUAAAUCCUUAGGAUGAGCGGAAACAUACCUCCACUCCUUGGGGAGUGUUUGAGAACUACCUUCUUGUUGCUCCAGCUCCAUAUUUGUUUGUUCUUCUUGUCUAUCCUCUUGAUUUUCUUGUGGUGCAUUCUCUUGAUUCUCUUUUGAUGAUUCUUCUUGUAAUUCUCCAUCUGCAUUAUCAUUAACAACUCCUUUCUCCGCAGAGGAGGGGUUAGAUUCAUCAAACGUAACAUGCAUGGAUUCUUCCACAACUAAAGUUCUUUUAUUAUAAACUCUAUAAGCUUUGCUUGAGUUUGAAUACCCGAGAAAGAUGCCAACAUCAGAUUUUGGAUCAAAUUUAUCAAGAUAAUCUUUUUUGUUUAAAAUAAAACAUUUGCAUCCAAAAACUUUGAAAUAACCAAUGUUGAGUUUUCUAUCUUUCCAAAGCUCAUAGGGAGUUUUAUUGAGAUGAGGUCUAAUCAACACCCGAUUUAAAACAUAACAAGCGGUGUUGACGGCUUCGGCCCAAAAAUAUUUUAGUAAUGCAUUUUCAUUUAACAUGGUCCUAGCCAUUUCUUGAAUAGACCUAUUCUUUCUCUCAACAACUCCAUUUUGUUGUGGAGUCCUAGGUUAUGAAAAUUGAUACUCAAUGCCAAAAUCAUUACAAAAAUUUUCAAAUGCAUGAUUUUCAAACUCUCCACCAUGAUCACUUCUAAUACAAGUAAUAGAAUAACCCUUUUCAUUUUGAACCUUUUUAUAGAAAAUUCUAAAUGCAUCAAUGACAUCAUCCUUAUUAGCUAAGAAUAAUACCCAUGUGUAUCUAGAAUAAUCAUCUACAAUUACAAAUGCAUAAAAUUUGCCACUUAAACUAGCAUAUCUAGAGGGUCCAAACAAAUCUAUGUGAAGUAAUUGAAGAUGUUUUAAAGUAGAGAUAUGAUUCUUGUUUUUGAAAGAGGUUUUGAUUUGUUUUCCAAAUUGACAUGCUUCACAAAUUCUAUCCUUUUGAAAACCAAUUUUUGGAAGACCUUUAACUAAAUCGUUUUUCGAAAUUUUUGAAAUUAAAUCCAUGCUUGCAUGUCCUAGUCUUCUAUGCCAUAACCAACCAUCAUCAUGCAAUGCCGAAAAACAUUUAUCAUGAGUAGAUGCACAUUCUAUAUCAAUCGUGUAAACAUUGCCACAUCUAUUUCCCAUAAACAAAAUUUUCCCAUCACAUGCAUUCUCAAUAACACAUCUUGAUUUAUCAAAAACAACUUUAUAACCUUUGUCACAUAGUCGACUAAUGCUAAUCAAAUUGUGUUUCAAAUUUUCAACAAAACACACAUUUUCAAUUAGAGUUGAAGAAAUUUUACCAACAUUUCCAAUUCCGAGAAUUUUUCCUUUUGAGUUAUCUCCAAAGGAUACAUCUCCACCAUUUUCGAUUUUGGUGAAACUUGAGAACCAUGCAUAGUUUCCUGUCAUAUGCCUAGAACAUUCGCUAUCCAAGUACCAUUUAUUUUUCUUUUUCUUCAAGCCCGGCAAAGAAAAUCUUAUGUCUUAGGUACCCAAACCUUUUUGGGUCCUUGAUCGUUAGCAAUGGUUCCUUUUGGAACCCACACACAUUUGACACCAUUAUAUGCAUUCCUUUUUACGGGACAUCUAUAUUUCAUGUGGCCAUUUUAAUUACAAUAAUGACAAAAAAUCUUAUGAUCAUUUGUGGAGGUAGCUUUAACAAAAUAAUUCUUAUAAUCUUUUGCUUCAAGUUAGGCUUAUACCCAAGUCCUCCUUUAUCAAAAACACAUUUUUGGGAGUUAAGCAUGUUAUCCAAUAUCUUUUACCCAUUUCUAAAUUUUAGAACAACAUUACUAAGUUCAAUAUUCUUUUUCUUGAGCAUUUCAUUUUCCUUUUUCAAAUCAUCUACAUGUGACUCUAAAUGCUCAUGUAAAGUGCUAGAUUUUUCAUUUAAUAAUGCAACUCUAUUAUGCAAGGUUUUAUUCUCUAAUUCUAAUCCUUUAAUCUUCUCAUUCAAUGACUCAUUGCAUUUUUGCAUGGCAUCCUUUUCAUUUGUAGAUUCUAGCAAUUUCUUUUUAAGGCAUGCAUUCUUUUUACUAAUUUUCAUCAACUCAUCAUGCAUUUCUUUAAAAGCAUCAUAUAAUUCAUCAUAGGUUGGAUCACUUACCUCAUUGAGAUCAUCAUCAUCUCCUAGUGCCAUAAGUGCUAGGUUUGAUACUUCUUGCGACUCAUCUUCAUCACUUGAAUCUUCAUCGCUAUCAUCCCAAGUAGCAACCAUAGCUUUCUUCUUGAGUUUGUUGAGAAGUGGGCAUUCCGAUCUUAUAUGGCCGGGCUUCUUGCAUUCAUAGCAUAUGAUUACCUCUUUCUUCUCCUUUUGGUUUUUGAAAUUUUUGAAUUUUCUUCGGUCACCGGGUUUCAUGAAAAAAAUUUUGAACCUCCUUGCUAGCAUAGCCAACUCCUCAUCAUUUGGCUCACUUUCCCCAUCACUCUCAUAUUUGGUGACUUUGAGAGCAAUGUUUUUCUUCCUUUCCUCAUUUCCUCUUUCAGCUGCUAAAUCUUCCUCAUAAAAAUAAGAAAACCAAUUAAAUCAUCAAUAGGUAAGAUAUUCAAAUCUUUAGCUUCCUCAAUGGCAGUCCUUUUUGGUCUCCAUUCCUUAGGUAACGACCUAAUGAUUUCUUAACUUUCUCGCUAUUUGAAAAGGUCUUUCCUAGAGCUCCUAGAGUGUUUACUAUAUCCGUAAAUCUAGUAUACAUAGAAUACACACUCUCAUUUUAUUCCAUUUGGAACAAUUCAUAUUGCCGAGUGUACCUACUAAUUUUAGACUCUUUCACUUGAUUCGUGCCUUCAUAAACAACUUCAAGUUUGUGCCAAAUUUCAUUAGCACUUUCACAACUAGACACUCUAUGAAACUCUUUCUUAUCGAGUGCACAAAGCAAGGCAUUCAUGGCUUUGGAAUUUAGAGAAGCUUUUCUCUUUUCCAAUUCAUUCCAUUCCCGUGAAGGUUUCGGAAUGUCUUCCCCAAUUUCAUUUUUAGUCAAAGGCAUAAAUGGACCAUCACAUACAACUUCCCAAAUUUCAUAAUCUAAUGCUUGUAAGUAAAUUCUCAUCAUAGUUUUCCAAUACGGGUAGUCAUUUCCGUCAAAGAACGGUGGCCUAGUUGUGGAUUGUCCUUCCCUAAAGAUUGAAUCAUUUUGGGUUGCCAUGGAUCUUUUACUCUAGACGGUUAGUCCUAACAAGAGAACCAAGCUCUGAUACCAAAUGAAAUGCAAGUAACGCAACCCAAGAGGGGGGUGAAUUAGGUUUUUAAAAUAAAUGCAAUACGAUUCGCACAAUAAAUCAAUCUAAUGCCUUAAUGAAAUAGAGAACAAUAAAUUCAAACAAGCGUAAAAAUAAAAGAGCAAGGGAAGAGAAAAAUGAACACGUGGAUUUUUACGUGGUUCGGCAAUCCCCGCCUACGUCCACGCCUCCAAGCCAACCAAGCUCGAGAAUUUCACUAUCCAAGCCUCCCAAGGCUUCAAGUUUUUACAAUUGACUUCCAAGGUGUCAAUGAACCUUUACAACCAAGAGAUUAUCUCCCCAAUCUCUUCACUCCAAGUGUUUCCCACACUUACACACUCACAAUUUGAUAAGAAAUGAAAAUUACAACAAAAACUCUCUUUAAGAGUGGAUAUGCAACUAAUAGCUCAAUAAUGAUUCAAUCAAUGAUGAUUUGUGUUUUGGAAGCUCAAUAUAUGUUGUAUGAUCUUAUAUUUGCGUGCAUUAGUUCUUAGAAUGAAGUUUGAGUUGAGUUUUUAUAGUGAAAGCCCAAAAACUAGCCGUUAUAGGCAAAUUCCCGCGCCCAAGCGGUUAGCCGCUUGAUUAUCUGGCUAGCCGCUCAGGAACAGUGAUAUUACCAUUAUCUUUAAAUUGCUACAGUACUACUGUUCACUAAAAUUACACUUUAGCCCAAAAUUUUCUAUAAUUAUACUUUGGCCCAAAACGUCAUAAAACUUUUCAAAUAAGUCCACUUUCAGAACUUCCUAAAAAUAGUUGUCUUUCCCAAACUUUCUGAAAUUAUGAUAUGACCCCAAAGAUUUUAUUAUUUCGCAUAAAGGUCCUUUUUAACAUAAUACCCAUAUUUUUCAAAGUUCUCAAAACCUUUCACUUUAGUCCAAAAUAUUUAUAAAUUAUAGUAUGGCCCAAAACAUUUCAAAUGUUUGUAAAAACGUCCAACUCCGAAAUUUAAUACUUAUUAAAAAUAAAGAUUUUAAAUCUUAGCAUUUAAAUCCAAAUUACUCAAAUCGACAAAAUACUUUAUUUUAUAAAAAUAAAACCUUUUAGUUUAUGAAAAGUAUUUAAUUAAAUUAAUCUCUUGAGCUUCUCAAAUGCUAAAUCAUACAUAAAUUAAAUCAUACCGGCUUUACAAGAAUUUAUCGCACUAAUUUGUUCGUUGAGCUCUAAACUAUAUUCUUGAUGUCGCCGUUGUCCGUUGAGUGUCUUCAAUCUUGAUUUCACUUGAUUCACUUGCAUAAAUAUUAUCCUUAAAAAACUAGUGAAAAUGUGAAAUACAAUAUUUAUUAAAUCACUUAAUACAUAUGUUUGUUAUUAUCAAAAUUACAUUAUGUAUAGCCCUUUAGGCUAACACAAUCAAUAUUUACUUAUUUAUUAUAUUUUAAUUUAUUAACUAUCAAUCAUGUAAGUAUAUUUAGUCAGAAAAAUUAUAUCAAGAGAGAAUCCUAAUUUCACGCAAACACAAAUACAAGAAAAAUAUGUCAAUUUCUAUACUAUUCACUUUCCUGUAGAAUCAAUUAUCUAAAGUGCAAGUUUGUGGCUACAGAAAACUCACCAAAGAAAGAAGAUAAUAACAAUUGAGCAUUGAUAGCAAAACUAAUGCAUCAUUUUCUUCUUGACUUGAUGAGAUGGCGCCAUUACAAAAAAACAAGUACCUUAAUUGACGGGCACUGAGUGAUGUGAAUACUACCAGCCAGUUCAUCUCUUCCAGUCUUGCUUAAUCACAAUCACAAACACCACGAGAUUGACAUUUGCAUUAUAUAAAUCUUCAGCAGUCGAAACACCUUGCAUUACCAAAUAAACCAGUAACAAACAAAGCAAUCUUUCAUGGAGAGGAACCUUAGUCUCAGUAUGAUCACUGUGUCAUUAACCCACUUCCUGCUUCUUUGCUUGGUUGUUGCAGCAGCAGCAGCAGCAAGCAACAAUAUUACCACAGACCAACAAGCUCUUCUUGCCCUGAAAGAUCAUAUAACUUAUGAUCCAACCAACCUGGUUGCCAUUAAUUGGACCUCGAACACCUCUGUUUGCACCUGGAUUGGCAUCACUUGUGAUGUCAAUAGCCACAGAGUCACAGCCUUAGAUAUUUCUCAAUUCAAUCUACAAGGCACCAUCUCUCCUCAACUUGGAAACCUCUCUUCACUCACAACACUUAAUCUUAGUCAUAACAAGCUUUCUGGAAAUGUUCCCUCCUCCAUCUACACCAUGCAUACGCUAAAAUUUCUAGACUUCACUGAUAACCAGCUCUCUGGUUCAGUGUCUUCCUUCGUCUUCAACAUGUCUUCAAUAUUAGACAUUCGUUUGACCAAUAACAGACUUUCUGGUGAGCUUCCAAAAAAUAUUUGCAACUAUCUUCCUCAUUUGAAAGCCCUUUUUUUGGACAAAAACAUGUUUCAUGGCAAAAUUCCUUCUGCUUUAUCAAAGUGCAAACAACUGCAACAAUUAACUUUGCAGUCCAAUAAUUUAUCCGGUGCAAUACCAAAAGAAAUCGGCAACUUGACCAUGCUCAAAGGGAUAUAUCUCGGCUACAACAAACUCCACGGUUUGUUCAUAAUACUAUAUAAAUAUUUUAAUUUAUCACUUAUUAUCUUUCGUGAAUAAUUUAGAUAAGAUCUUGUAAGUGACAUUUUUUGCAUCUAUGUUAAUUUACCAGGUGAGAUACCCCACGAAAUCGCUAAUCUUCGAAAUCUAGAAGCUUUAAUGCUAGGAAUGAACAACCUAGUUGGUGUGGUAUCAGCUAGAAUCUUCAACAUGUCAACACUGAAGGUAAUUACCCUCAUAAAUAACUCUCUCAGCGGUAGUCUUCCAUCAAGAAUAGACCUUUCACUUCCAACUAUUAACGAGCUUAACUUGGCACUUAAUAGAUUUUCUGGAACCGUUCCUAGUUCCAUCACCAAUGCUUCUAAGCUCACCUUGCUAGAGUUGGGAGGAAACACAUUUUUGGGAUUUAUUCCAAACACAAUUGGUAAUUUAAGAAACCUUGAGUGGCUCGGCUUGGCUAAUAACUACUUGACAUCUUCAACCUCAAAAUUGAGCUUUCUUUCCUCUUUGGCAAAUUGCAAGAAAUUAAGAUCCUUAUCCUUAGAACGCAAUCCACUUGGCGGCUUCCUUCCAAGUUCAAUGGGUAAUCUUUCUAUGUCUUUAGAAACACUUUUUAUCGCCAAUUGCGGUAUUAUUGGCAAUAUUCCUCAAGCAAUUAGCAAUUUAAGCAACUUGCUGGCCUUAGUAUUAGAAGGCAAUAAAUUGACUGGACCAAUUCCAAUUACAUUCGCCCGACUGCAGAAACUUCAAGGCUUAUAUCUUGCAUCCAAUAAGUUGGUAGGUUCAUUCCCAGAUGAGCUUUGCCAUCUAGGUAGGCUGGCUGAAUUGGCCUUACUUGACAAUAGGCUUUCAGGAUCUAUACAUUCAUGUGUAAGUAAUCUCACUUCUCUAAGAUAUCUCUAUUUAGGGUCCAAUAGGUUUACUUCUGUCAUUCCCUCAACUUUCUGGAGCCUAAAAGACAUCUUGUUUUUUGACUUUUCAUCAAAUUUCUUGGUUGGUCCUCUUUCUUUCGACAUAGGUAAUUUGAAGGUGCUUCUAGGAAUAAAUUUAUCAGAAAAUAACUUAUCGGGUGAUAUGCCAGCCACAAUUGGAGGACUAAAACACCUUCAAAUUAUGGACCUAGCAUAUAAUAGAUUGGAAGGGCGAAUUCCCGAAUCAUUUGGUGAGUUGACAAGUUUGGAGGUUUUGAAUUUGUCAAAUAAUAAAAUCUCUGGGUCUAUUCCAAAAUCCAUGGAGAAACUCUUUUACCUCCGAGAGUUAAAUCUCUCUUUCAAUGAACUUGAAGGUGAGAUUCCUAGUGGAGGAAUUUUUGCCAACUUCACAGCUGAGUCAUUUAUGGGAAAUGAGUUAUUGUGUGGUUUACCAAAUCUUCAAGUCCAACCAUGCAAAGUUAGCAAGCCGAGGACAGAACAUAAAUCAAGGAAAAACAUACUUCUCAUUGUGAUUGUUUUGCCAUUGAGUGUUGCUCUAACAAUAGCAAUCACUCUAGCUCUCAAAUCUAAGCUGAUCGAAUGUGGAAAAAGAUGCACAGUGUUGUCAAAUGAUAGUGUCUUGUCAUCACAAGCAACACUAAGAAGAUUUUCAUACUUAGAACUUUUACAAGCAACAGAUAAUUUUGCUGAAAACAGCGUAAUUGGCAUAGGAGGUUUUGGUUCUGUUUACGGUGGAAGACUUGAAGAUGGGAUGAAGAUUGCAAUAAAAGUGUUUCACCAGCAAUGUGCAAGCGCAUUGAAGAGUUUUGAGGCUGAAUGUGAAGUGUUAAAAAAUAUUCGCCAUCGAAACCUUAUCAAAGUUAUCAGCAGUUGCUCGAACGAUGACUUCAAAGCAUUAGUCCUAGAAUACAUGUCCAACGGGAGUUUGGAGGAUUGGCUGCAUUCGAGCAAUUACGUGCUGAAUAUUUUUCAAAGGUUGAACAUAAUGAUUGACGUUGCAUCAGCUUUAGAAUAUCUCCACUUCGAUCAUUCAACUCCUAUUAUUCAUUGUGACUUAAAGCCUAGUAAUGUAUUGUUGGACGAAAAUAUGGUUGCUCAUUUGAGUGAUUUUGGCAUAGCAAAGCUUUUAAGUGGAGAGGAUGAGUAUGUGAUGCGAACAAAAACCCUUGCCACUAUAGGUUAUAUGGCACCAGGUUUGCUUCAAACAACUUUUGUUUUUAGUUCAUUUUAAAUUUUCAAACUUAUUGAUUUUUACAAUCCUCACAUCAAAAUUUUAUUGAUUAUUUAUCUAAUUGUGAAAUUAAUUUGAUUCAUAGAGUACGGCAUAGAAGGAGAAGUAUCUACAAAAAGUGAUGUUUACAGUUAUGGGAUUAUGUUGAUGGAAACUUUUACCGAGAAAAAACCCACAGAUGAAAUUUUUGUUGCAGAAUUGAGCUUAAAGCGUUGGGUUAAUGACUUGCUUCCUACUUCAUUAGUGGAAGUUGUGGACAAAACUCUGCUAAGUGGAGAGGAAAAACAUUCUGCAGCAAAGGAGCAAUGUCUGUUGUCUAUCUUUAGUUUGGCUCUGGAGUGUACAAUGGAAUCACCGGAAAAGAGGAUUAAUGCAAAAGAUAUUGUUACCGGAUUACUCAAGAUAAGAGACACAUUGAGUAAAAGGAUAGGAAAUUUAAGUUAAUUUCGUUUGCUUCCAUUGAUAGUUAAUCUGAAUUCAUGUAAUAAGUGUAGGAAUGUUAUAUCUUUUCCUUUCAUAUAUUUUUUUUCCUUGAGAAAACUGUUGUAGUCAUCUUGUUUCCAUGGACAGAGUUGAUUUAGUUCUUCCAAGAAAUGCUACUGAUGACAUUUGUUUUAUACUUUCUCUUUUUUUGCAUGCGUUUAGGUAGAAUAGUGGUCUAGCUGCAGGCUAAUAAGUCAAGCUAUGCCAAAAGCGUAUGAUUUAAUUUAUUAAACAUAACUUCAAGUUCAAGAAGUGUUUCUCAUUGCCACCAAUGCUUUGGACACCUGUUGGAAGGUUUGUUGUCCUCAGCUUUUGUUUAGAGCAAAAGUUCGAGUCCCAUAAAGGCUCAAACAUUCCUUUCCUUCUGUCCCAAGGGCGCCUUCUGUCCUCUGUUUUCUGUUUCCACACACAAAUAGCCAAAAGAAUUUAGAAUGACAACUGGGACAUAUAUAAGAGUGAAAUAAUUAAAAAAAUAAUGCUUUCUUGUUUGUCGUGUUAAAAUCGUAAGUACCGAAGUACUGUGAAAGAGAUUGAUUUACAGAAACUGAAGCCAAGGGUUCAAAAAAAAAGUGCAAAGAGAAUAAUUGUAUUGGUAGCACAAUGUCAUAUUCAUACAGAGAUCAAGUAUAUUAUUUACGGCUGGUAAGGACUAAGAAUUGAUGUAGCUAGAAUGCGAAGAUGAUAAGGUAUGUUGUGCACUAUUGUUUUAUUCUACAAUCAAUCUUGACCCUUGAUGCUUGGCUCUCAAUCUUGUCCAUUGAUCUUCUCUGAUUUGGGAGACUUGAAGACCUUUCAGUAUCCUGCCUUGUUGUUGGUAUCUUCCAUGCUGUAGAACCGCCGACUUGCCAAGUAUUUGUUCAUUGAUGCAUUUUAUGAAACAGUUGGCCUGCUCAUAGCAAACAGCUCCUGUGUUAACUCCCCCUCCAUAGCUCAACUAUCUGGGAAGACAAUUAAUUGAGCUUGUUUCACAAUUAUAUGAAUCUGAAAGUUCAAUUUUAAAAAUUACAUUCGGACUCUACAUUUUCUAAUGAACAUUGGUUUGGCUUAUAAGCUUAAUAUG
rnacentral:lncRNA from 1 species